CCUGGCAGGGGCAGGGCAGCUACGCUAGGGGGCCAGGUUGAGAGAUCCUGGCCACUGAGGAGUUACAGGAUCAGGGGUUCACAUACAACACAGCCUGGCCACUUUUCUGGAAGGCAGCCGUGUUGUGCUGGAGGCCUGCAAUAGUCCUUCAUCUCUCUGCUCCCUACCGAGCCUGAAGGCAGUCGGAUUGGGGGCAGCAGCAGCAGCAGCAGCAGCAAAAAUGUCAGACCUGUGUUUUUCCUCUGGGAGUUCUGUCCCAGGGAAAUGCAGAACUGCCACUGGCUUAAGAGCUCAGGCAGCUUGGGGUGGCUGUGCUAAGGUCCUAGGCCAAUUGUCUUUGUCUAAUGAGGCGUAGCAGAGGCCAAGCCUGCAGACCAUUCACUCCUCAGCACCAUGAGGCCCCUUUCCUGGGGAGUGUGAAAGAGCCUGGCCUCCCUUGUUGGUAGAGCUACAGCCACUGGUGUCAAGGUGCUCAGGGGUCUGAGGCCCCUGGGACUCUGUGUGUCUUAGUGAAGGCUCUGCCCAUACUCCAUGCAACAUUCUCUGUCACUCUGGAGGUCCCAGGAAGGGAAGAGUAUCAGGGGAGAUCUCCUAUGCGCUGGUUUGCAAAGGUCUGUGGCAGAAGUGUGUCUGUGAGAAGAGCCAGGGGCUCUUGCUCACUCACCAUUUCCCUAUGAUAAUGCUGUUUAAAUCAAUUAUGAUAAAGUUCAGGUGGAACAUUAAUGUAAACAAAUCUUCAGUUUGGCAGCCAACAGAAGAUAUGAUUCUUUCAAGACAAAAGGAG
rnacentral:lncRNA from 1 species